AUACGGAGGAUGCGAGCGUUAUCCGGAUUUAUUGGGUUUAAAGGGUGCGUAGGCUGUGCGUUAAGUCAGGGGUGAAAUGCCGUCGCUCAACGACGGAGCUGCCCUUGAUACUGGCGUGCUGGAGUACGGAUGCCGUUGGAGGAAUGAGUGGUGUAGCGGUGAAAUGCUUAGAUAUCACUCAGAACACCGAUUGCGAAGGCAUCUGACGAAUCCGUCACUGACGCUGAUGCACGAAAGCGUGGGGAUAGAACAGGAUUAGAUACCCUGGUAUUCCACGCCGUAAACGAUGAUGACUAACCGUCGGCGAUAGACAGCCGGUGGCCAAGCGAAAGCGAUAAGUCAUCCACCUGGGGAGUACGUCGGCAACGAUGAAACUUAAAGGAAUUGACGGGG
rnacentral:rRNA from 1 species